rnacentral:misc_RNA from 1 species
UUUCCGUAGGUGAACCUGCGGAAGGAUCAUUCAUAAUAAAGUGUUUUAUGGCACUUUUUAAAAAUCCAUAUCCACCUUGUGUGCAAUGUUAGAUCUCGUCAAUCUUGGCGAGAUUUUUAUACAUCAACUCAUUCUUUAACUAAUUUGUCUGAAAAAUAUUAUGAAUACUUAAUUCAAAAUACAACUUUCAACAACGGAUCUCUUGGCUCUCGCAUCGAUAAGAACGCAGC